rnacentral:rRNA from 1 species
CUACGGGGCGCUGCAGUGAGGAAUUUUGCGCAAUGGGGGAAACCCUGACGCAGCAACGCCGCGUGAGCGAAGAAGGCCCUCGGGUCGUAAAGCUCUGUCAAGUGGGAAAAAAAUCUUUUGAUCAAUAGUCAAAAGACUUGAUGGUACCACUGGAGGAAGCACCGGCUAACUCCGUGCCAGCAGCCGCGGUAAUACGGAGGGUGCAAGCGGUGUUCGGAUUUACUGGGCGUAAAGAGCGUGUAGGCGGUUUAGCAAGUCAGAUGUGAAAGCCCUGGGCUCAACCCGGGAAGUGCAUUUGAAACUGCUUCACUAGAGUAUGGGAGAGGAGAUUGGAAUUCCUGGUGUAGAGGUGAAAUUCGUAGAUAUCAGGAGGAACACCCGUGGCGAAGGCGAUUCUCUGGACCAAUACUGACGCUGAGACGCGAAAGCGUGGGGAGCAAACAGGAUUAGAUACCCUCGUAGUC